CGAAAGAUGGUUAUCAGUUCAAGGAUGCAAGGUGACCCUGCUUUUUUCAGGGUAAGAAGGGGUAGAGAAAAUACCUCGAGCCAAUGUCCGAGUACCAAGCGCUACAGCACUGAAGUAACCCAUGCCAUACUCCCAGGAAAAGCUUGAAUGACCUUUAACAAAUGGGUACCUAUACCCGAAACUGACACAGGUAGGUAGGUAGAGAAUGCCUAGGGGCGCGAGACAACUCUCUCUAAGGAACUCGACAAAGUGGCCCCGUAACUUCGGGAGAAGGGGUGCCUCCUCAGGAGGUCACAGUGACCAGGCCCGGGCGACUGUUUACCAAAAACACAGGUCUCCGCAAAGUCAUAAGACCAUGUAUGGGGGUUGAAGCUUGCCCAGUGCCAGAAGGUUAAGGAAGUUGGUGACCUGAUGACGGGGAAGCCAGUGACCGAAGCCCCGGUGAACGGCGAUCGUAACUAUAACGGUCCUAAGGUAGCGAAAUUCCUUGUUGGGUAAGUUUCGACCCGCACGAAAGGCGUAACGAUCUGGGCACUGUCUCGGAGAGAGACUCGGUGAAAUAGACAUGUCUGUGAAGAUGCAGACUACCUACACCUGGACAUAAAUACCCUAUGAAGCUUUACUAUUUCCUGGGAUUGUCUUUGGGUUCUUCUUGCGCAGCUUAGGUGGAAGGUGAAGAAGGCUCCCUCUCGGGGGGGCCUGAGCCACCAGUGAGAUACCACUCUGGAAGAGCUAG
rnacentral:ncRNA from 1 species